UCCGGUAGUUAAUUCCGUUUUCUCCCAAAUACGAUUGGGCAGAAAACCCUAACUCCGGUCGGCCUCUCCGGUGGACGAAAAGCUUCCUGACUCUGCGAAGGUCUCACAUUGCAGUAGGCGACGUCUCUAGAGCAAGUUUUAAUAUGGUAUCGUCGGUACAUGCUCCUGGUGAUCUUUCCCUGGUCAACAGACCUCAUGCUUCCGCGCUCUCACCGCCUGAUCGCCUUGCUGUCUCCUCUGCCCGGCCGAACAACCCAAUUCAAACGCCGGCAGCAUCAUACCAUUCUUCGUCUGGCUUCACAGGAAAAUCGAAAGCAAAUGACUUUGAAGAAGGGUUAUAUAACAGUUCUUUUUUUAAAAGAUUAAGAACUGAAAGGUACGUCGUCUCUCCAUUACAGGACCCAGAGUCUCCAUUUUUUCUGAUCUCCGGUGAUCAUCCAUGGGCUAUUUUAGUGCCCGAUAGGUUGGUUGGAGAGACCAAUUAUAUCACUUGAGCUAAUGGUAUGAAUGUAUCAUUAGUAUCAAGAAAGAAAGAAUUUUUUAUAAAUGGACAAAUUAAAAUGCCUGAGGAUAUCAAUAGUAGGGAAUACAAUAUCUGGAAAAUAGUAAAUGGCUUGGUCUUAGCUUGAAUCUUGAAUUCAGUUUCCCCUCAAAUUCAAUCUACACUAAUGUACACAAACAAUGCACAUCAAAUAUGGUUGGAUUUAGAGUCUAGAUAUAAACAAGGUAAUGCCCCUAAGAUCAAUCAGAUCAAGUAUGAAUUAUGCUGCUUACAACAAUGAACACUAUCAGCAUCUGAAUUUUAUGAUAAAUUCAGGUCAAUUUGGAGUCAAUUAGUCCAAAUUGAUGAAAUAAAAGAAGAAUUUUGCAAAGUAUGAAAAAAAUAUAUUUUAGAAAGGAAGAAAAUGAUAUGAUCCACCAAUUCCUCCUAGGCCUUAAUGAGAGUUUUUUCAAUUUAAGAACUCAAAUUUUAUCUCUAGAAAAGCUACCCAAUAUGAACAAGGUUCUUGGGCUAGUCAUACAAGAAGAAAAACAUAGGUCCAAAUUUAGAGAUCAAAAUACUGAAAAAAUAGAGUCUGCAUUUUAUGCCAAGAACAAGAACACAUCUGAGAAAACAAAGAUCAUGUAUUCCAGGAAUGGAAAGAAGUUAGACACUAGAUUUUAUUGCGAUAAUUGCAAAUACUAUGGUCACACCCGGGAAAAAUGUUACCAUCUAGUUGGAAGACCCAAGGAUAAAAUACAAAAGAAAUAUCAGAGAAAGAAGAACCAACAAAAUACUGAAAAUUCAGAAGUUGCAAAUCAAGUCACUUCUACAAACAAUCAACAACAACUAGUGCUUAGCCAAAAAGAAAUUCAGCUUUUCAAAGAAUUGAUUUCUUCAACAAAAGCCAAUAACUCUGGUAAUAAUUUAUCUUUUUCAUUUAAUACUACCUCUCAUAUUGAUAAAUGGAUAGUAGAUGCGAGGGCAUCACAACACAUGACAGGUAAUAUGCAUCUUUUCACUAAACCCUUAAUCCAAGAAUUUAAUCAUUUUGUCACCAUACCUAGUGGCAAAACACUUAUAGUUAAGGGGAUAGGAUGCAUUAAAAUUUCAGAAAACCUAACCCUCAAAAAUGUAUUAUAUAUCCCUCAAUUUAAGGUUAAUCUAAUAGCUAUAAGCAAAUUAACCUUAGACAAUGACAUUAAAGUCAUUUUUGAUGAUCGUUGUUUUGAGUUCAGGAAAACAAAUCCGAGAAAGUGAUUUGCAAAGUGAAUUAAGCAAUGGGCUAUAUUUCUUCACCCCCAUCUUUUUCUAGCAAAUUCAGUCAUUGAUUUCAGAACAUGUCACCAUAGAUUCGGAAAAGAUGAAAAUUUUAGCCUCCAAGUACAAAAUUAAGUACAAAAAUACUAAAUAUGAUUGUAAUAGAAAUAAUGAUUGUAAUAGUAGUAUGAAUUCUGUUUUGAAUCCUAUAUCAAAUAAAGAUAUUGUAUUGAAUGAUAAAAAUUCUAUUUUGAAUAAAGAUGAUAUUUUGGCUAAAAAUGCCAUUUCAAAUAAAAAUUCAAUUUCUCUUCAACAAAAAUCUGUUUUAGAUGAAAUUAAAGCCAUUCAAUAUAAUU
rnacentral:lncRNA from 1 species